AGCGGGAUCAAUUGCAUCUACGAGAUUGGUAGGAGCCAAAACAAGUACACCCUAAAAUAGCACGAGGAAAUCAGAGGAAGAUAUCGUUAGCUCAUCUCCAAUUUAUCAUUUGCAAUAUGGAUGUCAAGUAUUAUUACUCACUUUAGACUCCUCUAAACCAUCCAUAUUUCAGUUAGCAAUGUAGCUAGAAUUUUAUCCCCAACUCUUGAGUUACCGCUUGAACUUCCUCCUCUGCCAUUGAAAAUCAAAAUUUGCAAUAGAAUUCAGGAAACAGUUAAAGACAUACCUCAAUGGCAUAAUAAAUGUAACUGGAUUUGUACAUAAGGCAGUUCCAAGAAAACAAACUGCAUGAAGCAAGGCUUUU
rnacentral:lncRNA from 1 species